UACGUAGGGGGCAAGCGUUAUCCGGAUUUACUGGGUGUAAAGGGUGCGUAGGUGGUCUGGCAAGUCAGAAGUGAAAACGCAGGGCUUAACCCUGCGACUGCUUUUGAAACUGUCAGACUAGAGUGCAGGAGAGGCAAGCGGAAUUCCUAGUGUAGCGGUGAAAUGCGUAGAUAUUAGGAGGAACACCAGUGGCGAAGGCGGCUUGCUGGACUGUUACUGACACUGAGGCACGAAAGCGUGGGGAGCAAACAGG
rnacentral:rRNA from 1 species